rnacentral:rRNA from 1 species
UACGUAGCAGCGAGCGUUGUUCGGAAUUACUGGGCGUAAAGAGUGUGUAGGCGGUGCUCUAAGUUCGGUGUGAAAUCUCCUGCUUAACUGGGAGGGUGCGCCGUAACGAGUGAGUGCUCGAGCGUGGGAGAGGAAAGCGGAAUUCCUGGUGUAGCGGUGAAAUGCGUAGAUAUCAGGAGGAACACCGGUGGCGAAGGCGGGUCUCUGGGCCGUAACUGACGCUGGAGGAGCGAAAGCCGUGGGGAGCGAACAGG